ACGAACGCUGGCGGCAUGCCUAACACAUGCAAGUCGAACGAGACCUUCGGGUCUAGUGGCGCACGGGUGCGUAACGCGUGGGAACCUGCCCUUAGGUUCGGAAUAACUCCCCGAAAGGGGUGCUAAUACCGGAUAAUGUCUUCGGACCAAAGAUUUAUCGCCUUUGGAUGGGCCCGCGUUGGAUUAGCUAGUUGGUAGGGUAAAAGCCUACCAAGGCGACGAUCCAUAGCUGGUCUGAGAGGAUGAUCAGCCACACUGGGACUGAGACACGGCCCAGACUCCUCGGGGGGGCAGAAGUGGGGAAAAUUGGAAAAGGGGGGAAAGCCUGAUCCAGCAAUGCCGGGUGGGUGAGGAAGGCCUUAGGGUUGUAAAGCUUUUUUCCCCGGGAGGAAAAUGCCGGUACCGGGAAAAAAAGCCCCGGCUAACCCCGU
rnacentral:rRNA from 1 species